rnacentral:ribozyme from 1 species
AAUGUGCUACUGAUUUGGUAUUCAACACAAGUCCAAGUGCCACAGAGAAGAUGUUGGAGCGCACGGAUUAUGAGAAGCAAUGCAUCGAGGCAAAGAAAGCAGGCAAGCCAAAGC